GGGUUGUGAGGUUAAGCGACUAAGCGUACACGGUGGAUGCCCUGGCAGUCAGAGGCGAUGAAGGGCGUGCUAAUCUGCGAUAAGCGCCGGUAAGGUGAUAUGAACCGUUAUAACCGGCGAUACCCGAAUGGGGAAACCCAGUGUGAUUCGUCACACUAUCAUUAACUGAAUCCAUAGGUUAAUGAGGCGAACCGGGGGAACUGAAACAUCUAAGUACCCCGAGGAAAAGAAAUCAACCGAGAUUCCCCCAGUAGCGGCGAGCGAACGGGGAGGAGCCCAGAGCCUGAAUCAGCAUGUGUGUUAGUGGAAGCGUCUGGAAAGGCGCGCGAUACAGGGUGACAGCCCCGUACACAAAAGCGCAUAUGCUGUGAGCUCGAUGAGUAGGGCGGGACACGUGGUAUCCUGUCUGAAUAUGGGGGGACCAUCCUCCAAGGCUAAAUACUCCUGACUGACCGAUAGUGAACCAGUACCGUGAGGGAAAGGCGAAAAGAACCCCGGCGAGGGGAGUGAAAAAGAACCUGAAACCGUGUACGUACAAGCAGUGGGAGCCCCACCACUAAGCCAGUGGUGAACUCCACAUACGCAUCCUUUGCUGAGGAGACGGUUAACGGAGCGAAAGCGACGUUCAACCUCAAAAGAAGCAGAGGGGGCUUAGUGGUGGGGUGACUGCGUACCUUUUGUAUAAUGGGUCAGCGACUUAUAUUCUGUAGCAAGGUUAACUGUAUAGGGGAGCCGGAGGGAAACCGAGUCUUAACCGGGCGUUAAGUUGCAGGGUAUAGACCCGAAACCCGGUGAUCUAGCCAUGGGCAGGUUGAAGGUUGGGUAACACUAACUGGAGGACCGAACCGACUAAUGUUGAAAAAUUAGCGGAUGACCUGUGGCUGGGGGUGAAAGGCCAAUCAAACCGGGAGAUAGCUGGUUCUCCCCGAAAGCUAUUUAGGUAGCGCCUCGUGAAUUCAUCUCCGGGGGUAGAGCACUGUUUCGGCUAGGGGGCCAUCCCGGCUUACCAACCCGAUGCAAACUGCGAAUACCGGAGAAUGUUAUCACGGGAGACACACGGCGGGUGCUAAUGUCCGUCGUGAAGAGGGAAACAACCCAGACCGCCAGCUAAGGUCCCAAAGUCAUGGUUAAGUGGGAAACGAUGUGGGAAGGCCCAGACAGCCAGGAUGUUGGCUUAGAAGCAGCCAUCAUUUAAAGAAAGCGUAAUAGCUCACUGGUCGAGUCGGCCUGCGCGGAAGAUGUAACGGGGCUAAACCAUGCACCGAAGCUGCGGCAGCGACACCGUGUGUUGUUGGGUAGGGGAGCGUUCUGUAAGCCUGUGAAGGUGUGCUGUGAGGCAUGCUGGAGGUAUCAGAAGUGCGAAUGCUGACAUAAGUAACGAUAAAGCGGGUGAAAAGCCCGCUCGCCGGAAGACCAAGGGUUCCUGUCCAACGUUAAUCGGGGCAGGGUGAGUCGACCCCUAAGGCGAGGCCGAAAGGCGUAGUCGAUGGGAAACGGGUUAAUAUUCCCGUACUUGGUGUUACUGCGAAGGGGGGACGGAGAAGGCUAUGUUGGCCGGGCGACGGUUGUCCCGGUUUAAGCGUGUAGGUAUGUGUUCCAGGUAAAUCCGGUUCACUUUAACACUGAGGCGUGACGACGAGGCACUACGGUGCUGAAGCAACAAAUGCCCUGCUUCCAGGAAAAGCCUCUAAGCAUCAGGUAACAUCAAAUCGUACCCCAAACCGACACAGGUGGUCAGGUAGAGAAUACCAAGGCGCUUGAGAGAACUCGGGUGAAGGAACUAGGCAAAAUGGUGCCGUAACUUCGGGAGAAGGCACGCUGACACGUAGGUGAAGUGAUUUACUCACGGAGCUGAAGUCAGCCGAAGAUACCAGCUGGCUGCAACUGUUUAUUAAAAACACAGCACUGUGCAAACACGA
rnacentral:rRNA from 1 species